rnacentral:miRNA from 1 species
UUUAGGAUCCAAACAACACU